UUACAUCAGUUAAUUUGUACAUUCCUUAUCAAUGUGACAAAUGAUGGAAAUUAUACUUCUUGUGUGAAAUUUGUCGAUCGAGGCGUAACCGAGGUCGGUAAACACACAAGAAAUACCAUUUCCAUCAU